CCCUUAGAUGUUCUGGGCCGCACGCGCGCUACACUGAAGGGAUCAGCGUGUUUUCCCUUCCCGAGAGGGACGGGUAACCCGCUGAACCCCCUUCGUGGUAGGGAUCGGAGCUUGCAAUUGUUCUCCGUGAACCAGGAAUUCCCAGUAAGCGCAAGUCAUAAGCUUGCGUUGAUUACGUCCCUGCCCUUUGUACACACCGCCCGUCGCUACUACCGAUUGAACGUUUUAGUGAGGUAUUUGGACUGGGCCUUGGGAGGUUUCGGCCUCCCUUGUUGCUCGGAAAGACUCCCAAACUUGAGCGUUUAGAGGAAGUAAAAGUCGUAACA
rnacentral:rRNA from 1 species